rnacentral:rRNA from 1 species
AUUGAACGCUGGCGGCAUGCCUUACACAUGCAAGUCGAACGGUAACGGGCCUUCGGGUGCCGACGAGUGGCGAACGGGUGAGUAAUGUAUCGGAACGUACCAUUGAGUGGGGGAUAACGUAGCGAAAGUUACGCUAAUACCGCAUAUUCUCUCCGGAGGAAAGCAGGGGACCGCAAGGCCUUGCGCUCUUUGAGCGGCCGAUAUCAGAUUAGCUAGUUGGUGGGGUAAAAGCUCACCAAGGCGACGAUCUGUAGCGGGUCUGAGAGGAUGAUCCGCCACACUGGAACUGAGACACGGUCCAGACUCCUACGGGAGGCAGCAGUGGGGAAUUUUGGACAAUGGGGGCAACCCUGAUCCAGCCAUGCCGCGUGAGUGAAGAAGGCCUUCGGGUUGUAAAGCUCUUUCAGCCGGGAAGAAAACGCACUCUCUAAUACAGGGUGUGGAUGACGGUACCGGAAUAAGAAGCACCGGCUAACUACGUGCCAGCCGCCGCCGUAACAC